GUAGGUGGCAAGCGUUGUCCGGAAUUAUUGGGGCGUAAAGCGCGCGCAGGCGGUUCUUUAAGUCUGAUGUGAAAGCCCACGGGCUCAACCGUGGAGGGUCAUUGGAAACUGGAGAACUUGAGUACAGAAGAGGAAAGCGGAAUUCCACGUGUAGCGGUGAAAUGCGUAGAGAUGUGGAGGAACACCAGUGGCGAAGGCGGCUUUCUGGUCUGUAACUGACGCUGAGGCGCGAAAGCGUGGGGAGCAAACAGGAUUAGAUACCCUGGUAGUCACGCCGUAAACGAUGAGUGCUAAGUGUUAGGGGGUUUCCGCCCCUUAGUGCUGCAGCUAACGCAUUAAGCACUCCGCCUGGGGAGUACGGCCGCAAAGGCUG
rnacentral:rRNA from 1 species